rnacentral:rRNA from 1 species
AGAGUUUGAUCCUGGCUCAGGAUGAACGCUGGCGGCGUGCUUAACACAUGCAAGUCGAACGGACGGAAGGGGUUCGCUCCUUCCGUUAGUGGCGGACGGGUGAGUAACGCGUGAGCAAUCUGCCCGUAUCUGGGGAAUAACAGUUAGAAAUGACUGCUAAUACCGCAUAUGACCACGAAGAGGCAUCUCUUUGCGGUGAAAGAUUUUAUCGGAUACGGAUGAGCUCGCGUCCCAUUAGGUAGUUGGUGAGGUAACGGCCCACCAAGCCGACGAUGGGUAGCCGACCUGAGAGGGUGAUCGGCCACAUUGGAACUGAGACACGGUCCAAACUCCUACGGGAGGCAGCAGUGGGGAAUAUUGGGCAAUGGAGGCAACUCUGACCCAGCAACGCCGCGUGAGUGACGAAGGUCUUCGGAUUGUAAAACUCUUUAAGUGGGGACGAAGAAAGUGACUGUACCCACAGAAUAAGCCUCGGCUAACUACGUGCCAGCAGCCGCGGUAAUACGUAGGAGGCAAGCGUUAUCCGGAAUGACUGGGCGUAAAGGGUGCGUAGGUGGUUUGGUAAGUUAGUAGCGUAACUCCGGGGCUUAACUUCGGAACUACUACUAAAACUGUCAGGCUUGAGUGCAGGAGAGGCAAAUGGAAUUCCUAGUGUAGCGGUGGAAUGCGUAGAUAUUAGGAGGAACACCAGUGGCGAAGGCGAUUUGCUGGACUGUUACUGACACUGAGGCACGAAAGCGUGGGGAGCAAACAGGAUUAGAUACCCUGGUAGUCCACGCUGUAAACGAUGAAUACUAGGU